rnacentral:rRNA from 1 species
AGUGAACGCUGGCGGUAGGCCUAACACAUGCAAGUCGAACGGCAGCACAGUAAGAGCUUGCUCUUACGGGUGGCGAGUGGCGGACGGGUGAGGGAUACAUCGGAAUCUACUUUUUCGUGGGGGAUAACGUAGGGAAACUUACGCUAAUACCGCAUACGACCUACGGGUGAAAGCAGGGGAUCUUCGGACCUUGCGCGAUUGAAUGAGCCGAUGUCGGAUUAGCUAGUUGGCGGGGUAAAGGCCCACCAAGGCGACGAUCCGUAGCUGGUCUGAGAGGAUGAUCAGCCACACUGGAACUGAGACACGGUCCAGACUCCUACGAGAGGCAGCAGUGGGGAAUAUUGGACAAUGGGCGCAAGCCUGAUCCAGCCAUACCGCGUGGGUGAAGAAGGCCUUCGGGUUGUAAAGCCCUUUUGUUGGGAAAGAAAAGCAGCAGGUUAAUACCCCGCUGUUCUGACGGUACCCAAAGAAUAAGCACCGGCUAACUUCAUG